rnacentral:rRNA from 1 species
UCUGGCUCAGAUUGAACGCUGGCGGCGUGCUUAACACAUGCAAGUCGCGCGUGAAAGGACUUCGGUCCGAGUAAAGCGGCGCACGGGUGAGUAACGCGUGGAUGAUCUACCCAUGAGUUAGGAAUAACGGCUGGAAACGGUCGCUAAUACCAAAUACGCUCCGAUUUCAACUUCGGGGGAAAGGUGGCCUCUGCUUGCAAGCUACUGCUCAUGGAUGAGUCCGCGUCCCAUUAGCUAGUUGGUGGGGUAACGGCCCACCAAGGCGACGAUGGGUAGCCGGUCUGAGAGGAUGACCGGCCACACUGGGACUGGAACACGGCCCAGACUCCUACGGGAGGCAGCAGUGGGGAAUAUUGCGCAAUGGGCGAAAGCCUGACGCAGCGACGCCGCGUGAGGGAUGAAAGGGUCCUCGGAUCGUAAACCUCUGUCAGGAGGGAAGAACCGCCACGGUGCUAAUCAGCCGUGGUCUGACGGUACCUCCAAAGGAAGCACCGGCUAACUCCGUGCCAGCAGCAGC